CAUAAUUGUGUCCAGAGCGCUGCUGGUGCUGAUUCCAUCCGGGCCUUCCCGCGGGGAGUGAAUCCGGGAGCUUGGAGUGUUUUCUGCUUCCCUUGAGGAAUGUGAAGACUUAUCAGAUAACAUAUGUGAGCACUUGGAGCUACCCUCACCCCUUGGCAAUGUUACUCACGGCUUGCCAGACCUCACGUGUGAUUCCGGACAUCAAAAUCCACAUAAACGCAAGAUUUAGACAGAUACUUGGAGAGCUCAGGCUGUGGAAAGCUGUACUCAGUCAACCACUUUCCUGAACGUGUAGAGCAUGGGCUGUGACAGGCCUGGGAAUUUGAAACCUCACCUGCCAGCCCCGGCACUGCCCUCUGGUAUUGAAGGACCUUAUGUGCCAUCAGAGAUCUCCAUUGUGUUGGUCAAGCCAGCUUCUCUCAAAAAGCACUCAUGUAAAGCUCUCUCUUACAGAUUUGUGCUGUGCAUUAAUAUGUCAUACAGAUAUUGAUGAAAAUAAAACUGCUGCCUGGCUACCAAAUGGUAGCUUUUUCAAAUCUAAGCCUCGAGAUUUUGUUUGAAAUCAUGCUAAAAUACAGCAGACCUCAGAAUCUUACUCUUACACUACAAAAUGAAAAAGCUCUAAUGAAAAGAUACAUAUUACAAUUAACAAGAAACUGAAGUUGAAAUAAGUGAACAAAUAUUUUCAUGGAGACCCACCCAGGGAGGGACAAUGCUGACUGGAACACAGAAAUGUUUGAUUCAAAUGUCAAAUCAGGCCAUCCUGUCACUUGGGACAUCUUCCCAUCUUCAUUCUGCUCACUGAAGUGCUCAGUUACCACCCUCACAGAAAACACUGCACUUGCCCCCACCUGCGUGGCCAAGGUGCACUUUGCUUUGCAGGUUCUCACACCACCCUACUAGGAUGGUUCUUCCUUGUCCUUUGGGAUAGUUUUUCUCCUCUUACAAGUCUGAGAGAAUCCAAAGGGCAGGAUAUUUCUGUCUUUCCCCUGAAUACUGGAAUCUUAUUGGUUGACCACCAAAAUGUCUGCAAGGAACCUAAGCUGGGUUGAGGAAAUAAAAAAUCUUAAUAUCCCAAGGUGUUAGCUUUUCAUCUGUCAUCUCCAGGGUGUCCAGCUGCUCUCCUGAGUGGCUCCACCCAAUACCUCAGGCUGUUCCUCUAGGAGAUCACCCAGGAGCUGAUAUUGGCUAGACAUUGCAAGGAACAUGGCCCCUUUGGGCAUCCUGGGUCAUCCCCAGACAGUUCUGAAACCUAGGAACUGACACCAGGAAAAGACAAGAGCGUGGCUGAGGACACAUCUCUCUGCAAGAGUUCCAAAGGAAAACAUCAACCCAAAGACAUUCUAAAAAGCUGUCUAUAGCUAUGGAAGAUAACAAGAGAGGCACAAAGAUUUGUUAUAGCUGAGUGUCACGUGAUUAUUCUUUGCUUUCCCCCCAGGGGAAAUGUUCAGACUCUGCAAACAAGUAUUUUAAAGGAGCUACCCACUGCUCUGUGAAAAAAAAAGAACAAUUAAAAUACAGUGUCUGAAAAGUAAAUAAAGGACAAAUAGUUGAUUAUGUA